AUCCGUCUGGAAAGUCCCAAAUAGGACGAGAUGCGCAUCCUGGAU
rfam:Schistosoma haematobium scaffold336_3, whole genome shotgun sequence.